CCCCUACAGUGACACACUUCCUUCAAGAAGUCCACAAGAAGUCCAACAAGGCCACACCUCUGAAUAUUGCCACUCCUGAGGCCAAACAUAUUCAAGUCACCACAGAUCUUAAGUAUCUCUCAUCUGAUUGAAGAAGAGUCUGCAGGAACAGUCACCAACGUGAUGAAUUUGAAUUCCAUCACCAUGUGACAAGUUAUGUUAGCUAUUUUUCCUACUUCUGUGUAUAUAAAACUGAGAAAAGAAACACAAGAAAUGCUGAGAAGCCCAAGUGCUACUAAGUCUUCUAGGUGGUCAGGGACUACUUGCAACCUGAGUUGGACUUUAUUCACCGUGGACACAUUUCAUCAGUCUCUACUAGAUCCUCCAUGGGAUGCUUGUGUGAGCCUCCAUCUCCGGCACCUGCUCACACUGAAGACUGUUCCGAGGGAGAAGCACAAGGCCACUGUAGGAACUGGAGUGCUGCUGGACUACUUCUUUGAGCCACACAGGUCUGAACAAAGUACAAGUAUAAUAAUCACAAAAUCCCAAAGAGUAGGGAACCAAGGCUCCCUGUUCUUCAUGACCACCUAGUAAUAAAAGCUGAAAUGGUAAGGCCAUUGACCCAUAAUUAAAUUGUUUUGUAGGGGC